UACAGAGGGUGCGAGCGUUGUCCGGAAUUACUGGGCGUAAAGGGCGCGUAGGCGGCCUGAUAAGUCGGGGGUGAAAUUCAGCGGCUCAACCGCUGGACUGCCUUCGAGACUGUCGGGCUCGAGCACGGUAGAGGCUGGUGGAAUUCCCGGUGUAGCGGUGGAAUGCGUAGAGAUCGGGACGAACAUCGGUGGCGAAGGCGGCCAGCUGGGCCUUUGCUUCCGCUGAGGCGCGACAGCGUGGGGAGCAAACAGG
rnacentral:rRNA from 1 species